UCCUCUGAAACGAAUAACGUUCUGUAAGCAGAGAUCAACAUGCCUAAAUCAAGUUUUGUACUCACUAUCAUCCUUUUAAUACUUCUGUGCAAUGCAUCUGCUGGCCAAACCAUAGUUAUAAAAAAUGAUAUUCCUGCUACUCCAAAGUUGAUAAAGGGGCAUAGUAGAAAGAUUCUCACGGAUAUUCAGGAUUAUGAUUAUGGAGGGGCAAACUCUAAGCAUGAUCCACGCAGAAGGCCUGGGAUUGGAGGCAGGAGCCGCUAGACAUCUAAUCUCCUUCGUACAUAUCACUGCAGAUGAUCGUGUGAACUACAUGAAGGGGUUGUAUGAGUAAAACUAGUAACUUACCUAAUAUAUGAAUAUCUGAAUCCCCUGAUGUAUGCUUUAAUCUUUAUACAUCCAUAUGGAUCAGAAAGUCAUAUAGAUAUACCCUUAUCCCAUCAUUAGUUGCAUGGACUUAAGACCAGCUCAUUUUAUAGGGCCUUAGGUGUAAUACUAGUGCAUACUUCCGAGGCAGUUGACCGUGUAUGAAGCCAUUUUGUGCGGUGAUAAAUAUUAUUCACUUGUGAGUUCAUACUGUCCUCUACCAAAUUUCGACGAAGCAGAUCUGCUCAC